UGCCAGCCGCCGCGGUAAUACAGAGGGUGCGAGCGUUAAUCGGAAUUACUGGGCGUAAAGGGUGCGUAGGUGGCUAAGUAAGUCCUGUGUGAAAGCCCCGGGCUCAACCUGGGAAUGGCAUAGGAAACUAUUUAGCUGGAGUAUAGUAGAGGGCAGUGGAAUUUCCGGUGUAGCGGUGAAAUGCGUAGAUAUCGGAAGGAACACCGGUGGCGAAGGCGACUUCCUGGCUUAAUACUGACACUGAGGCACGAAAGCGUGGAUAGCGAACAGGAUUAGAUA
rnacentral:rRNA from 1 species